rnacentral:lncRNA from 1 species
GUCUGGGGCAUGGACUAGUGGCUAACUGUGCACUAAAGUAGCCAUAAACCAUAUUUUUAUACCAAAAAUUACUGUCUUGCACCAUAAAUCAGUAGUUCUUGUUACAACUGUAAUAGCAGCAGUAGAUAAUGUACAUGUACAGUAUGCAGUUUUACUGUUACAGUGUGCAAUGUUGUCAUUUUGAAGAUAGACAGUGUGGCUAAAAUUAUAACAUUAUGUAACAUCAAUUUUAUCUGUAUUUUUGUUUUGCCAAAUUCCCUUCAGUACAACAAUGUACAUGUAGUCUGUACUGUUGUGUAUUUUUUUUACAAUAAAAUGCACUUUUAUUUCGGACACAAACAAUGUACAAAAAAAUGUAACGUACAUGUAAGUGUAUUUUUGGCACUGUGUACUGCACCAUAAAUAAAUGUUUUAAUUACUGUACAUGUAUUAC